rnacentral:sRNA from 1 species
UAAAACAAACUGCCGAAUUCCCGUGUACAUGGAAACGGGGGAACCACUUUGGGUGAAUUGAUUUCGACGUCCCGCCAAGCAAGAAGUAAUCGUCCUCGCACCGCUUGCCAGCCAUCUCUGGUACCGCGGCCCGGGUCCUUACAACCACAAGGACGACCACGCCAGCUGCAGCAUGACGCCUGAGAAGUCAUAGGGUGCCUUCAACCGAACCCCACAGCUAACCUCGUAGGCUUUUGGAAGGAGCUUU